rnacentral:lncRNA from 1 species
AUACGAUAUAUUUUAAACCUCUUAUAGAGCAAAAAAUGACUCAUCGUCGUCAGGAAGGAUUAUGCUUAUAUUAUGGAGAACCUUAGCACACUGCUCAACAUUGCCAAAAAAAGUGACGCAACCAUAAAAUGAGGAGUAUGGCAAUCAAAGAAGAUAGCAUAUCAGAAAACCAAUUUGUUCAGCUACAAUAGGGAUUAUGCGGCUAGAACCUUGUACAACGCCUAGUGAAGGUCCUAUUCUCUCCUCAAAACCCUCUCCAUGUUUUAUAAUAAAUGUUAUUCUAGGACCUAAACAUUACAAAGCCUCUGCCUUGCUAGAUUCAAGAGUCUCAACAUGUUUUUUAGAUGAAGAAUUUGCUAAAAGACAUAACAUAUUUU